ACUGUUUGUGUAGUGCUUUAGCUGAAACCAUCUGAAGGUGGUCAUGAAGUCCUUUCAAAUGAUCGGUGCUCAUUUUGUGAAUUUCAUGAUUGCUUCACAAGCAUGAACAUACACUUUCCCUUCAAUAAUAAUUCUUUUGAGUGAC
rnacentral:sRNA from 1 species